rnacentral:rRNA from 1 species
UAAGCGGAGGAAAAGAAACUAACAAGGAUUCCCCUAGUAACGGCGAGUGAAGCGGGAAGAGCUCAAAUUUGAAAUCUGGCACUUUCAGUGUCCGAGUUGUAAUCUCGAGAAGUGUUUUCCGCGCUGGACCGCAUAUAAGUCUAUUGGAAUAUAGCGUCAUAGUGGUGAGAACCCCGUAAUUGAUGCGGACGCCCAGUGCUUUGUGAUACACUUUCGAAGAGUCGAGUUGUUUGGGAAUGCAGCUCAAAUUGGGUGGUAAAUUCCAUCUAAAGCUAAAUAUUGGCGAGAGACCGAUAGCGAACAAGUACCGUGAGGGAAAGAUGAAAAGCACUUUGGAAAGAGAGUUAACAGUACGUGAAAUUGUUGGAAGGGAAACGCUUGAAGUCAGACUUGCUGUUUGGAAUUCAGCCGCAAGGUGUACUUUUCAGAUAUGCAGGCCAGCAUCAGUUUUUGGGGGUGAAAAAGGGUAUUGAGAAGGUAGCAGUUUCGGCUGUGUUAUAGCUCUUUGCUGGAUUCAUCCUUGGGGACUGAGGAACGCAGCUCACUUUUUGCACGAUCUUCGGAUUGUUCUGAGCUUAGGAUGCUGGUGGAAUGGCUUUAAACGACCCGUCUUGAAACACG